rnacentral:lncRNA from 1 species
AGAACAUACUCAAGUGUCUCAGCUCAACAUUUGGAGAUGAGCCAUCCUCCUCUUAUUGUAAGAAAAGCUUGAAGGAGUAUUUUCACAGCGAUGGAACUGGAAGUUAAGGCAACUUCUAUCAGCAUCAAGAAAAGAAAAGAAGUAUUCACCACUUACGAAACAACAUCUCUCUUCUCAUCAAUAGUUUGAUUUACAGCAUCUACUGCAGAAGACCUCAAUAAUGCAUAAGAACAUCUGGAAGUACGGUAAUUUCAGCUAUCAGAGAUAAGAAUUGACACAGAACAGAGGAUCAUAGAAAUUCAUAAACAGAGGAUGAAGAAACACAGAAGACAGAGGAAGGAUUUAGUUUUGGGAACAUGUGCUAAUGGCCAUCAAACAAUUCUGAAAUAACUGAAAGAGAACCUUUGAAACACCCUUUAGAUUAAGAGCCUGGCUUGUAAUCUGUAACAACAAACGGUAUUACAAUGAGAAAAAUAAAUGUCCUGUCAAGGCAUUCCUUCAAUGACAUCUUGUCACACAAGUCUAUAUCCAAGGCUGCCCACAAAGUGGAAAAAUGGGGAAAAUAGAGAAUUCAGCUCACUAUGAUUUCUGCAAUAUACAAUUAUGGGAAAUCAUGUUUGGAUUGACACUGCAGACAGAAAUGGCAUGCAUGAUUCCUGUUUGGACAGGAAUAGCUGUUGGGGAGGAAGCCAACCUUGAAUGACACUGAAGAGCAACAUAAUGAAGCAUGAAUUGACAGGCAUCCUUCACGUUGCUUCUGGCUUCCCGUGUAAAAAGCCAUAUCUGAGCGCAGCUCUUAUGGGGCCAGAUCCAGGGGAGGAGAAAGGAAGUGAGGCCCAGAAAAAAUACAUUGUCAUGGAGGAGUGAAACUGAAGACAAAACAAAAAGGACUUUCCACAACUAGGCCCCUGGCUUACACUGCAAUGGAAGAAGAGGAGCAGAAAUACUGCCAAAGAUCCUUAUGAUGGCAUUGCAUUUUAGACUGCUUUUCAACUGAUUAUGACAGUAUCAACAAAAGAAACUUUCAUUUGAGGGACAUGGAUGGAGCUGGAGGCCAUUAUCCUUAGCAAGGUAACACAAGAACAGAAAACGAAAUACUGCAUGUUCUCACUUAUAAAUGGGAACUAAAUGAUGAGAAUAUAUGGACACAUAGAGGGGAACAACACACACUGAAGCCUUUUAGAGGGUGAAUGGUGGGAAGAGGGAGAGGAUCAGAAAAAAUAACCAAUGGGUACUAGGCUUAAAACUGGGUGAUGGAGGCAGGGCGUGGUGGCUCACGCCUGUAAUCCCAACACUUUGGGAGGCUGAGGCGGGCAGAUCACCAGGUCAGGAGAUGGAGAUCAUCCUGGUGAACACGGUGAAACCCCAUCUCUACUAAAAAUACAAAAAAAUUAGCUGGGCGUGGCGGCCGGCGCCUGUAAUCCCAGCUACUCGGAAGGCUGAGGCAGGAGAAUGGCGAGAACCCGGGAGGCGGAGCUUGCAGUGAGCUGAGAUCGCGCCACUGCACUCCAGACUGGGCGAUAGAGCAAGACUCCCUAUCAAAAACAAAACAAAACAAAACAAAACAAAACAAAACAAAACUGGAUGAUGAAAUAAUCUGCACAGCAAACUCCCACAACACACGUUUACCUAUAUAACAACUUGCAGUUGUACCCCUGAACUUAAAAGAAUAAUCGGCCAGGCGCAGUGGGUCACGCCUGUAAUCCCAGCACUUUGGGAGGCUGAUGUGGGUGGAUCACCUGAAGUAAGGAGUUCGAGACCAGCCUGGCCAACAUGACGAAACCCCGUCUCUACUAAAAAUAACAAAAAUUAUCUGGGCAUGUUGGCACACGUGCCUGUAAUCCCAGCUACUGGGGGACUGAGGCAGGAGGAUCACUUGAACCUGGGAGGAGGAGGUUGCAGCGAGCCGAGAUCGCACCACUGCACUCCAGCCGGUGCAACAGAGUGAGACUUCAUCUCAAAUAAAUAAAUAAAUAAAAGAUUAAUAAACAAAAACAAAAAAACACAAAAAAUUCUAUACCUCAAUUUAUAAAAUUCUAUAACUGUCUAUUAACUACUAAUAAAAAUGUGUGAUAAAGGCUAUUAAUGAUGGGGUUUCCUUUUUUACUCUAUAAGCAUAUUUACCAUCUCAAUAAGUUACAAAUAUCUAAACAUACCCUAUGCCAUUUUAUAAUAAUACUAUGACAUGUAAUGAUUCUUGCCCUGUUCUUUGUGUUGGAAUGUUUUUGUCGGUUUUAAAUGAAGUAUCACUUCCUUUUUGAAGGUUUUUGUAACUCUGUUGAAAGAAUUAGUCACUCUUCCCUUGAAUUUUUAAUGUAACUGGCUCAAAACUUUACGUAUUUAUCAAACUGUAUUUUAAUUAUCCCCUAAUAUGUUUAUCUUGCAAGUCUGUGAUCUCCUUAAGGAUAAAUGACCAGACUUCCUCAUCUUCCUGCCUGACAUGUCAUGAAUGUUUAAUAAUUUGUACUAAGCAUUUAAUAUUAAGCAAAUUAAAAA